UGAAAGCGGGGGACCGUAAGGCCUCGCGCUAUUGGAGCGGCCGAUGUCUGAUUAGCUAGUUGGCGGGGUAAAAGCUCACCAAGGCGAUGAUCAGUAGCUGGUCUGAGAGGACGAUCAGCCACACUGGGACUGAGACACGGCCCAGACUCCUACGGGAGGCAGCAGUGGGGAAUUUUGGACAAUGGGGGCAACCCUGAUCCAGCAAUGCCGCGUGUGCGAAGAAGGCCUUCGGGUUGUAAAGCACUUUUGUCAGGGAAGAAAUCUUUCGGGCUAAUACCCCUGGAAGGAUGACGGUACCUGAAGAAUAAGCACCGGCUAACUACGUGCCAGCAGCCGCGGUAAUACGUAGGGUGCAAGCGUUAAUCGGAAUUACUGGGCGUAAAGCGUGCGCAGGCGGUUUGCUAAGACAGUUGUGAAAUCCCCGGGCUUAACCUGGGAACUGCGAUUGUGACUGGCAGGCUAGAGUACGGCAGAGGGGGGUGGAAUUCCUGGUGUAGCAGUGAAAUGCGUAGAG
rnacentral:rRNA from 1 species